rnacentral:rRNA from 1 species
CAGCAGCCGCGGUAAUACGUAGGGUGCAAGCGUUAAUCGGAAUUACUGGGCGUAAAGCGUGCGCAGGCGGUUUGUUAAGACAGAUGUGAGAUCCCCGGGCUCAACCUGGGAACUGCAUUUGUGACUGGCAAGCUAGAGUAUGGCAGAGGGGGGUGGAAUUCCGCGUGUGGCAGUGAAAUGCGUAGAUAUGCGGAGGAACACCGAUGGCGAAGGCAGCCCCCUGGGCCAAUACUGACGCUCAUGCACGAAAGCGUGGGGAGCAAACAGGAUUAGAUACCCGCGUAGUCCCUGUCUCUUAUAC